AGGAGGUGUUUUUCACAAACAAGUAAACCAACUGAAUUUUAGGGCAGUUUCAGGUCAGGAAAGAGAAAUUUUCUGAGAUCCUUAAAAAGACAGUUUUCAACUCUUUUUUGCAGGGAGAAGAUAGGCACCUAUGACUGUUUCCAAGAAGGAGCUUUAACUAUUGCAUAAGUGCUCCCAGAUGGCAGCUCCUACCUCUGGCCACUGGUACUCUGGAUCCCUGUUUGCUACCCUUGUUCUCAUUGCUGCCUGGCCUCAAGAGAGAAACCUUCCCAACUGGUGAUCAGCUUGGUGCAACCACAGUCCCUCUUAGCUGCUGCUGAUUUUCCUUUGGCCAUUUCUGAGAAUUUCUGGAGUGAGUUUGCUAGUUCUACAAAGAUCUCUCAAACUGUCCAGUCAUUAGAGACCGUGGAAGGAUUACAUUUGGAUAAAAACCAAAAUACCACAAAAUCCAGUGGAAGGCUUGACCCUGAAGUAGGUGACCAUUGUCAGCUUUGUUUGUAUUGCCAAAAUUUGAGAAUAUUUUUCUAGUGUAG
rnacentral:lncRNA from 1 species